rnacentral:rRNA from 1 species
GGGGGGAUAUUGCACAAUGGGCGAAAGCCUGAUGCAGCGACGCCGCGUGGGGGAUGAAGGCUUUCGGGUUGUAAACCUCUUUCGCUAUCGAACAAGGCUCGCUUAGGGUGGGUUGAGGGUAGGUGGAGAAGAAGCGCCGGCUAACUACGUGCCAGCAGCCGCGGUAAUACGUAGGGCGCGAGCGUUGUCCGGUAUUAUUGGGCUUAAAGGGCUUGUAGGCGGCUUGUUGCGCCUGCUGUGAAAACGCGGGGCUUAACUUCGCGCGUGCAGUGGGUAAGGGCAGGGUUGAGUGUGGUAGGGGUGACUGGAAUUCCAGGUGUAGCGGUGGAAUGCGCAGAUAUCUGGAGGAACACCGAUGGGGAAGGCAGGUCACUGGGACAUUAAUGACGCUGAGGAGCGAAAGCAUGGGUAGCGAACAGG